UACGUAGGGGGCGAGCGUUGUCCGGAUUUAUUGGGCGUAAAGAGCUCGUAGGCGGUUCGAUAAGUCGGACGUGAAAUCUCCACGCUCAACGUGGAGGGGCCGUUCGAUACUGUCGUGACUCGAGUCCGGUAGGGGAGUGUGGAAUUCCCGGUGUAGCGGUGAAAUGCGCAGAGAUCGGGAGGAACACCCGUAGCGAAGGCGGCACUCUGGGCCGGUACUGACGCUGAGGAGCGAAAGCUAGGGGAGCGAACGGG
rnacentral:rRNA from 1 species